rnacentral:rRNA from 1 species
CAGCCGCCGCGGUAAUACGUAGGGAGCAAGCGUUGUUCGGAUUUACUGGGCGUAAAGCGUGCGUAGGCGGCUUCUUAAGUCGGAUGUGAAAUCCCUGAGCUUAACUUAGGAAUUGCAUUCGAUACUGGGAAGCUAGAGUAUGGGAGAGGAUGGUAGAAUUCCAGGUGUAGCGGUGAAAUGCGUAGAGAUCUGGAGGAAUACCGAUGGCGAAGGCAGCCAUCUGGCCUAAUACUGACGCUGAGGUACGAAAGCAUGGGGAGCAAACAGGAUUAGAUACCCCAGUAGUCCCUGUCUCUUAUAC